CUUUUAAAAGCUUGCUUUUAAAAGUCAGCGGCGGACGGGUGAGUAACACGUGGGCAACCUGCCUGUAAGACUGGGAUAACUUCGGGAAACCGGAGCUAAUACCGGAUACGUUCUUCUCUCGCAUGGGAGAAGAUGGAAAGAUGGUUUCGGCUAUCACUUACAGAUGGGCCCGCGGCGCAUUAGCUAGUUGGUGGGGUAAUGGCCCACCAAGGCGACGAUGCGUAGCCGACCUGAGAGGGUGAUCGGCCACACUGGGACUGAGACACGGCCCAGACUCCUACGGGAGGCAGCAGUAGGGAAUCUUCCGCAAUGGACGAAAGUCUGACGGAGCAACGCCGCGUGAACGAUGAAGGCUUUCGGGUCGUAAAGUUCUGUUGUUAGGGAAGAACAAG
rnacentral:rRNA from 1 species